rnacentral:rRNA from 1 species
CCUACGGGAGGCAGCAGUGAGGAAUAUUGGUCAAUGGACGAGAGUCUGAACCAGCCAAGUAGCGUGAAGGAUGACUGCCCUAUGGGUUGUAAACUUCUUUUAUAUGGGAAUAAAACAGGGUAUGCAUACCCUCUUGUAUGUACCAUAUGAAUAAGGAUCGGCUAACUCCGUGCCAGCAGCCGCGGUAAUACGGAGGAUCCGAGCGUUAUCCGUAUUUAUUGGGUUUAAAGGGAGCGUAGGUGGAUUGUUAAGUCAGUUGUGAAAGUUUGCGGCUCAACCGUAAAAUUGCAGUUGAAACUGGCAGUCGUGAGUACAGUAGAGGUGGGCGGAAGUCGUGGUGUAGCGGUGAAAUGCUUAGAUAUCACGAAGAACUCCGAUUGCGAAGGCAGCUCACUGGACUGCAACUGACACUGAUGCUCGAAAGUGUGGGUAUCAAACAGGAUUAGAUACCCGGGUAGUC